UACGGAGGGCGCUAGCGUUGUUCGGAAUUACUGGGCGUAAAGCGCGCGUAGGCGGCUUUGUAAGUUAGAGGUGAAAGCCCGGAGCUCAACUCCGGAACUGCCUUUAAAACUGCAUCGCUUGAAUCCAGGAGAGGUGAGUGGAAUUCCGAGUGUAGAGGUGAAAUUCGUAGAUAUUCGGAAGAACACCAGUGGCGAAGGCGGCUCACUGAACUGGUAUUGACGCUGAGGUGCGAAAGCGUGGGGAGCAAACAGG
rnacentral:rRNA from 1 species